GCCCUUCCUUCCGUCCAUUUUGCUGCUGCUUCUUCAUCGCAACGAUGACUACCACGACGAGCAUGGGAUCAUGGGAAGGACUGCAUUGGACCUUUCCCCCACAACUUGUGCGCUUGAGUAGAAUAAGAUGCUACCAGAACUUGCUGAUUAACUGCAGUCAUCUUGUGCAGUUUCCAUGCAGUCUGCUGGGCUGAGACUUGUCAAAUUCAAGGUUUCCUGCAGAUGAACCAUUUAUGGUGUACAUUGGCCUCUUAUGGGUGUUUCAGCCUUCCUCCUGUUGGCCAUAGCACAAUAUUUUGGCAGCACUGCCAAAAAUAACAGGUUAAAGGACUGGCUGUUUACCUAAAGGACCCGUGGUUAAAGACUUGGAUGGGUUGAGUCCUUCUAGUGGUGUUGGGUUCCACUCAAGAUGUACACAAUAUUUCUUCCACCUAAAACGUUUCUUCACUCAUAGGUGAGACGCUUGGUCUGAAGUCACCCAAGCAGGACUCUGGUGGACCUCCCAAGUUGUGUAUCUGAGCAGAAUGAGAUGCUACAAGGACUUGCUGAUCGAUUGCGGUCUUCAUGUACAGGUUUCCACUGCAAGUCGAUGUUGCUGAUGAAGCCUUCACUACAUGUUUGGAGAAGAGGGACACAGUUUUGUACUUCCAUGUAAUGCAAGCACUUGCUGAAAGCUGCUCAGGGGGACUGAAUAAAUGAAGUUGCUGAA